rnacentral:tRNA from 1 species
GGAAAUGUGGCUUAGUGGUAGAGUGCUUGCCUAGUAAGCAUGAAGCCCUGGGUUCGAUUCCUCAGUACCA